rnacentral:tRNA from 1 species
AAGGGAGACCUAAUUCAGGUAGGAGACGAAAAAAAAGUAGUCCCUACCAAGAAUCAAUCCCAAAAGGUCGGAGCGAGGCAAAAUUGGCUUUCAAACUAGGUUCUGGGUUCACACAAGACCUGAAUCAGGAACAAGGGCUAUUAGCUCAGGUGGUUAGAGCGCACCCCUGAUAAGGGUGAGGUCCCUGGUUCGAGUCCAGGAUGGCCCACCUGCACAGGUGGCAAAAACAAAGAAAAGAAGCGAGGAAUCAGCACCUUAUCUUACUUAUAUAGUAAGAGAGAAUGCUGGCUCUGAGUAAAGAGUCCAGAGGAACCUUGAAAACUGCAUAGAGCUAGGUGAAAAAGCCAAAAAAGAAGACCGCAA